rnacentral:sRNA from 1 species
UGGAACAGAGGGCCUUCCACGACCUCAAGGUGGCCCCUGGCUACUACACCCUCACUGCAGACCAGGGUAGGAGGGCAGGUCCCCUGUGCCACUGCCUCGCACCUCCCGCCCGUGUGGCCCUGUGACCCACCUCUGACCACCUCCGAACUCCCACCCAGACGCCCGGGGCAUGGUGGAGUUCCAGGAGGGCGUGGAGCUGGUGGACGUACGGGUGCCCCUCUUUAUCCGGCCUGAGGAUGACGAGGAGAAGCAGCUGCUGGUGGAGGCCAUCGAUGUGCCCGCGGGCACUGCCACCCUCGGCCGCCGCCUGGUAAACAUCACCAUCAUCAAGGAGCAAGCCAGAGACGUGGUGUCCUUUGAGCAGCCUGAGUUCUCGGUCAGCCGCGGGGACCAGGUGGCCCGCAUCCCUGUCAUCCGGCGCGUCCUGGAUGGCGGGAAGUCCCAGGUCUCCUACCGCACACAGGAUGGCACCGCGCAGGGCAACCGGACGGAGUCUCACUCUGUUGCCCAGGCUGGUGCAGUCUCAGCUUACUGCAACCUCCGCCACCAGGGUUCAAGCGAUUCUCCUCCUCAGCCUCCCAAGUAACUGGGACUACAGGACUACAUCCCCAUGGAGGGCGAGCUGCUGUUCCAGCCUGGGGAGGCCUGGAAAGAGCUGCAGGUGAAGCUCCUGGAGCUGCAAGAGGUUGACUCCCUCCUGCGGGGCCGCCAGGUCCGCCGUUUCCACGUCCAGCUCAGCAACCCUAAGUUUGGGGCCCACCUGGGCCAGCCCCACUCCACCACCAUCAUCAUCAGGGACCCAG